UUGGAACUUACAAAAUUCAAAGUUCAUCUGAGAAAUGCGAAGUUAAAACUGAGAAAUCUUUUUAAAUUUAAAGAUAAAAGAACGUCAAUAUUGGUACCUCUAAGCUACACAAAAGCAUUAUUGCAAUCAAAAUAAGCUAUUUCUAUAUAUAUUUUUUGUUUCUAUUUGCUAGCAAAAUACAUUGAACAAUAGAAUUUAUGAUUCAGCAUAAAUUCGGUUAUUAGUGUAAGCAUAGAUUACUUGUGUUAUUAGCUGUUUCAUCUCUAUUAAAUGUAGGCUAUCAGAUGUAUGUUUGUCAAUGCGCAAUAUGACUGCGCACGCGAUCUUUUCAUUCCGACAUUUGAAAGAAACAGACGGAAUAUUAUUUGGUGAUUUAAAGAUUUAAAGAAAAUUAUUUUGGUGAUUAAAAAGAUAUAGGAUCCACAUUGUGCAGGUUUUGGUACCACUUUUCUACAAUUGGAACUCAGUUGUUUGGCACUAAGAUGAAUACAAGAAGGUCAUCAAAAAGAUGGAAAGCCACUGCAACAUUAGGAGCUGCAUCUAGACAAGAGGAAACACAACUUUAACCAGGUUCAGUACCAGCAUCUAACGAUCCCCCAACUUCAGGAGGAUAGUUGUUCUUUUGAUGUAUUAAAUCGACCAGGUAAUGCAAUCGGUAAAGAUCAUUCAAAUCUCACGCAAACAACUAGUUACUCUCCUAGUCUUGAUUAAGAUGUUAGUCAGUACUUAAAAUAAAAUAAAAAAAAUCAAACGGGCGAGUAUGUCAUCUUUGUUUUACUUAGGAACAACUCUAUAGUUGAUAAUGAUCAGCAAAAAGUGUCAUAUGAACAGGGGAAACUUUUUAUUAAACCAGUUUUGCCUCAUACAAAAAUAACAAAUAAAGAAAUUGAACUUAAGUAUAAAUAUAUUGUUGCUGAGAUACUUUUGCAGUGGAAUUAAGCUCGAUAUAAAGUUCCACGGUUUGGGACUAGGCAUUCGACAACUAUGUUAAUAUAGCAGUAUUAUUAUAUCCUCAAUCGAUUUGGCUGUCAUUAAAAUGAAUAUUAUGUUAUCUACGUUUAAUGUUUACAAUAUAUACUUGAUAGUCCUUGUACAACUGUUCACAUUAUUUAACACACAUUUCGAUGUUUCUCUUUCGAAUACAAAAUCUUUCUAAUUAGAUACGUUACAGUUUGAGAUAAUAAAUUCCUAACGUAAUGUAUCUACAAGCUGCGAUGCCGAUUACGAUUUGAACUUUUCUUGACCUUAGAAAUGAUAUAUAGUAAAUGUAAGGAAACCGUUAACUCUCUGAGAUUGUAAGUUCAUGUCAACGAUUUGCAGACGAUAAUCUUUUCAAAGAUUAAAAUUUUUGGUGAUCAAGUUUGUAAAAGUAACUUGCAAUCGAAAAUAGUGUACAAACGAUCUCUACGCUAAUGAUUAAUACUAAUAAAAAAAAAAAAAAAAUUAUUCUAACAAAUGAACUAAAUUACAAAUAAUAUUGUCAUCUCGCCAGAUAUCAAGAAAAAUAUAUAUAUUAUUGAACUCCAUUUAAUUUUAUCUAAGACUGACCAGUGCUUCGAAGGAACCACACACGUUAUUCAUGAGCGGCCUAGAGAUGCUUAUCCUAUUUUUGCUUAAACGAAAUAACUUACUAUUUACAAGUUUAGACCUGUCACUGGUCAAUUGCUUUGUUAUAAGUCCCCUUUCGAUUGAGUUUAGGGGGACUUAAGGUCUGUCUGUCUGUCCACCUGUCAAUCCGGCAAAUCAGUCUUCUACAUUUUUGUUUUCGUGCUUGAAGAUAUCGGUUUGAUAUUUGGUGUAUUGUUUUAUCAUGACAAGUUACUGACCAAGUAUGAAUGUUGUUCCGGUCUGAUGAUUUUGUGCAGAGUUGUGGUCAAAUACACACAAAUAAUUAGUUUUCCGCACAUUUUUUCGUCAUACUUGAAGACGUUGAUUUGAUAAUUGGUAUAUAGUUUUAUCGUGACAAGUUACAGAUCAGGUUCGAAUUGUGUUCCGGUCUGAUGAUUUUGUGCAAACUAUGGUCCUUGGACUAAGAGAAUUCAUUAAAAUAAUCAGUUGUCUGCACAUGUUUUCGUCAUGCUUGAAUAUAUUGAUUUGAUAAAUUGUAUAUAGUUUUAUCAUGAUAAGUUACGGACCAAGUUCGAAUUGCGUUCCAGUAUGAUGAUUCUGUGCAAAGUUAUGGUCCUUGGACUGAGAAAAUGCACUCAAAUAAUCAGUUUUCCGCAUAUUUGUUCGUCUUACUUGAAGAUAUCGAUUUGAUAACUGGUAUAUAGUUUUAUCAUGACAAGUUACAGAUCAAGUUCGAAUUGUAUUCCAGCCUAAUGAUUUUGUUCAAAGUUAUGGUCCUUAGACUAAGAAAAUUCCCCCAAAUAAUCAGUUUUCCGCAAUUAUUUUUUUUUUUGUUAUUGCUUGAAGAUAUUGAUUUGAUAAUUUGUACAUAGUUUUAUCAUGGUAAGUUACAUAUCAAGUUCAUAUUUUGUUCCAGUCUGCUGAUUUUUGUGCUGAGUUUUGGUCCUUGGACUUAAUAUUCUAUAAAUUCACACACAUUAUCAGUUUUCCUCAAUUUUUUGUUGUUGUCAUGCUUGAAGAUAUUGCUUUAAUAAUUGGUAUAUAGUUUUAUCAUGACAAGUAAUUGCUCAAGUUUCGAGUUUUGUUCCGGUUUGGUGAUUUUGUGCAGAGUAAUGGUCCCUGGACUUAAUAAAAAUUUACUUGAUAAUCAGUUUUCCACAUUUUUUUUUUUCUCGUCAUGCUUGAAUAUAUUGACUUGAUAUUUGUUCUGUAGUUUACACCAUGACAAGUUAUAGAUCAAGUUAAUAUUUUGUUCCAGUACAAUGAAUUAUUAACCGGUUGUGGCUAUGUAUUGCAAUGCAUUACUUUCAGAAUGCUUGUUUUGAUAGAACUCCUUUCUCUAAAUAUCAGUUUAGGAGUCCUAAGAUAGUCACUGAAUAUUUUCGGAUUAAGUCAAGGGAUACAAAGUUCUCGUUUCUUCAGGAAAGGCGCUGCUACAGAGCUGCCAUAAAUGGUUGACCUGAUUCUAAACCUCAGGCAAUGUGUUCAUGGAAGUCUAUGUCAUUUCGUUCAUAUAUUCAAAUACAACAAUGGGUAUAACUGUUUGAAUUUUUUCUAAUUUUAUGUUUAGAACUUGCAAUUACUUUAGUAAUACUAACCGUUAUGCAAGAUUAGCAGUUUCGCCAGUAAUCAUUAGAGUUUGGUUUCCACCUUUGUAGAAAACGAAUUUAUUCAAGUUUGGAAUAUACCAGGUGGCAUUCAUCUUGUACAAGAUUAAACUGGAAUUCAGUUUUCAAUAUCUCUAAUUUUUCACAUAUGUAGAUACGCGGAAUUGAUUGAAUUGACAAUACGACAGGAGUAUAACAUAUAAGAUGUGGGAAAAAACAUAUAAGAUGUGGGAAAAUACUGUGAAUAUAGUUUCUGUUCUUUUACUGAAUAUCAGAUUGUUGUGGUCUUAAGUUUGCCAAAUAAACAUGACAUUAUUCCGUAGUAACAGAAACAAUGAUUAGAACCAGAAAGAGGACAAUCAGCUGGCUGGCUAGUUUGAUCAUUCGUCAAGGGGGAUAUUGCAAUCAAUACAUACGAUACUCCGAUGUAUCUCCCAAUUCCAUAUUUAAAUGCCAAGAUGGUGAACAUUUGACUCAUAUUGGUAAUACAUUUUGCUUACCACAUUUCAAAGCGCGGUAGAAGCCUUUCUUGUCUACACACCACAUACUUUCCACAAUGUGUAUUAAGAAAUUGCAUGAUAUUCAUUAGAAUUCAGUUAUCGUUAGGGUUUAAAUAUAUGAGUCCUUUAUAUUGUAUUUGGCUCACAGCUUCUACGCAGCUCUAUCCGCUUUUAAUGGCGGUUGACCCGACAGUCAUUUAUGACUGUCUUGGUCAAUUUGGCACAUUUCGCUGCGUUUCCUUUAAAUAUGCGUCAUUUGGCGUCAUAUUUCAUUUAGCAUCCAAAACAUUUGAUAUUGUGGGUCUCUGUAUCCCAGGACCACCACACAAAAAUUUACGAAUCUCUGUUUCCCAGGAUUCAUUUAAUUGGAUGCUUUAUUUAUUGUAAAUAAUUAGUUAUCUAGUUAUCUAUCUAUCUAUCUAGUUAUCUUUUUGUAGUCUGCCAAUAUGAAAGGUGACUACGUUUAAUUAAUUAUCUAUUUACUAUAUAUAUAUCUUAAUUAUUUAUCUAUUUAGUUAUCUAGUUAUCGUGUCGUAGUUUGCCAAUAUGAAAGGUGACUACGUUCAUCGAAAUAUCUAUUUACUUUACAUAUAUAUAUCUUAACUGUUUACCUAGUUAUAUGUGUUUAUAAUUUUAUAAUAAAGCUGUGGCCAAAUACUGCCAAUACCGUGUUUCUAAUCAUUGCGCAUCAAUAAUAAUAGAAUUUAUGAUUCAGCAUAAAUUCGGUUAUUAGUGUAAGCAUAGAUUACUUGUGUUAUUAGCUGUUUCAUCUCUAUUAAAUGUAGGCUAUCAGAUGUAUGUUUGUCAAUGCGCAAUAUGACUGCGCACGCGAUCUUUUCAUUCCGACAUUUGAAAGAAACAGACGGAAUAUUAUUUGGUGAUUUAAAGACCCACCCACCCACCACUAUGUCUUAUACUACCUAGCAUAAUAUAUCAUGAACAUAUUUUUGCUGUGUCUUUACUAUAUUUUUCAGGAUGAUUCUUGUACAACAGUUCGGAUGAACCGUCAACUAAGCAGUAUAUGUGGAACAUCAGAUUAUUAUCUACAGUGUACUCUUCCGUUGUUUGCUAGUAUAGCUAUGCCAUCUCAACGUGUGUUGUGUUUUAAGACUAUUUAUUCUUAGACAUUUAUAUCUACAGUAAUCUGUGACUUCGUUCGUACAUGUAUCAUGUAAGAACAAUUUUUGUACGUGCCGGUUUACAUGAUCAUUCCGUAGUGAUAUUUAGUCAUGGGCACAUUUCGCUGCGUUUCCUUUAAAUAUGCGUCAUUUGGCGUCAUAUUUCAUUUAGCAUCCAAAACAUUUGAUAUUGUGGGUCUCUGUAUCCCAGGACCACCACACAAAAAUUUACGAAUCUCUGUUUCCCAGGAUUCAUUUAAUUGGAUGCUUUAUUUAUUGUAAAUAAUUAGUUAUCUAGUUAUCUAUCUAUCUAUCUAGUUAUCUUUUUGUAGUCUGCCAAUAUGAAAGGUGACUACGUUUAAUUAAUUAUCUAUUUACUAUAUAUAUAUCUUAAUUAUUUAUCUAUUUAGUUAUCUAGUUAUCGUGUCGUAGUUUGCCAAUAUGAAAGGUGACUACGUUCAUCGAAAUAUCUAUUUACUUUACAUAUAUAUAUCUUAACUGUUUACCUAGUUAUAUGUGUUUAUAAUUUUAUAAUAAAGCUGUGGCCAAAUACUGCCAA